GUGGCCGUAGCUCAACGGUCAGAGCGCCGGAUUGUGGAUCCGGAGACACGGGUUCGACUCCCGUCGGCCACCCCA
rnacentral:tRNA from 1 species